CGGAGGGUGCAAGCGUUAUCCGGAUUCACUGGGUUUAAAGGGUGCGUAGGUGGGCAAGUAAGUCAGUGGUGAAAUCUCCGGGCUUAACCCGGAAACUGCCAUUGAUACUAUUUGUCUUGAAUACUGUGGAGGUCAGCGGAAUAUGUCAUGUAGCGGUGAAAUGCUUAGAUAUGACAUAGAACACCAAUUGCGAAGGCAGCUGGCUACACAAAUAUUGACACUGAGGCACGAAAGCGUGGGGAUCAAACAGGAUUAGAUACCCUGGUAGUCCACGCCCUAAACUAUGGAUACUCGACGUUUGCGAUAAACUGCAAGUGUCUGAGCGAAAGCAUUAAGUAUCCCACCUGGGAAGUACGAUCGCAAGAUUG
rnacentral:rRNA from 1 species